UACAGUCUACCUCUAUGUGGUGACAACAGUGAUAGUGAUGACGCAGGUCAGAAGAAAAUAAAAGUUUAUAGAUCUCACGUCUAAUUGGGAAAUAAUCAAGCUGAGAUUUGGAACUACAGUUCCCACGAUGCUUUGGGGGAUGUAAACAGGAAGUAUAAUGUCGCCAUGCAGUCAGUUAAGUUAGCCGUGGGCUCCGACUUGUCCCGUUAGUUUGGCCUAUAUUUGUUUACAAUUUGCAGCAGUAAAAGUAUGCGGAAUUGGCUAUUAGCAGUUCGUGUUUCCAGCGCACCCAUGGAAGAAAAGACAACUGCCGCUGCGUCACUCUGAUACUGAAGACAACUUAAAAACGUGACGAUUCUCAGGCAAGUUCUGGAGUUAUAAGGAGCAUCUCUUCACUAUGAUCUCUCAGCGGAUUUAUGGACGUUUAUCUGCACAGGAAUCGGAUAUCUUCGGGAAGUCCUGCCAGGACCUGCAGCACCAGCCGGAGCCUGCGGUCCAUGGCCUGGAGGUGAGGCUGGAUGAGGACAGGGGACAGUCGGUCGCGCAGCAGAGACUCCUCCAUCAUGGAGCUCAGCUGGUAGUCCUCUUUGGCCAGCAGCUGGAGACGCAGCAGGACAAACAAACAAAAAAGUUGACCAAAAGUCUGACCUGCAGCACUGGCUGAGGGGCACCAGGAUGGACAACUCAUCAUGGGAGUGUUUUCCAAACCUACAAGAUCAAAAGACACAAACAAAACUCUAUGACAGCUGUUCAGACUAAUGCUUUGUUAGUUGUGAUGGAAAAUUCUUGGAUAUUGUUUUAUAUUUAAGGAGCGUCUCCAGGGGUUUCUCCAGGUCUUGCGUUUGGCCAGGUUCAGGUCUGGCAGGAAAGCUGCGAGUGAGCCUUCGAUCUGGUCUGGUUUCCCGCACAGAGCAUGCUCAGUGGAGCAGUAGUAAGAGCAUUCUCC